AACAAUUUUACAGUCAGAGCAUACCUCCACAUAUCCAGAUGAUGGGCCAAAUAAGAUAAAGUGGCAAUGUUCUAACUCUUAAGAAAUAGCUUAGGAAUAUAAAGAGGUUUGCAAGUGUAGUUUGGUACCCAAAAUGCAUUUAAAAUAAUAACUUGCAAUUUUUCCCUUUCUUUUUCAGAUAUGAACUAGUUAAUGACCCAGAUGGUUGGCUGAGUGUGGAUGAGAGCUCAGUUAUUAUUACUGUGGCAAAAGAAUCAAGAAUCCCCCUUCUUGCACAACAACAUGUAUACCAUUAUUGUUCAUGCUACAAAUCAUGGGCAGUCAGUUGAACUUUUGAUGUUAAGAAGCCUCCCACAAGGCAGCUACUUGGUGCUCAUCAUUAUUCAGGACAGUCUUGUGAAAUAGCAGUGGUGUCACCUCAUCUCACCUCACAGACAAGGAAGACAAAAGCAUGAAGGAUUUUCAAGUAAUGGCAGAGAAGUUCCUGAACCCAUGGCUUGACAUAAACCUACCACAGGAGCUAGAGCUUCAUGAUUUCUAUCAAAAGCUGCCUUUAGAUGUUGAGAGGAGGAGGGACAAGCAUUUUCAGCAUUGGAAUCAUCCUAACUGGCAAUAUGAGCAACGUACAAUGCUUUCUGAAGAAUAGGUACCAGUUUCUAAGUUAAUCUUGCUACUCUAGGUACAGUUUGGAACAGCAAAGCAGCAAAUAAAUGUGGUACUACUGCAAAGUUCUGCCA
rnacentral:lncRNA from 1 species